AUUGAACGCUGGCGGAAUGCUUUACACAUGCAAGUCGAGCGGCAGCGCGGGGGCAACCCUGGCGGCGAGCGGCGAACGGGUGAGUAACAUAUCGGAACGUACCCCGUCGUGGGGGAUAACACAGCGAAAGCUGUGCUAAUACCGCAUACGACCUGAGGGUGAAAGCGGGGGAUCGCAAGACCUCGCGCGAUGGGAGCGGCCGAUAUCGGAUUAGCUUGUUGGUGAGGUAAAGGCUCACCAAGGCGACGAUCCGUAGCUGGUCUGAGAGGACGACCAGCCACACUGGAACUGAGACACGGUCCAGACUCCUACGGGAGGCAGCAGUGGGGAAUUUUGGACAAUGGGCGCAAGCCUGAUCCAGCAAUGCCGCGUGAGUGAAGAAGGCCUUCGGGUUGUAAAGACUCUUUCUAGUUGUAGAAGAAAAAGUACGUAGACUAAUAAUCAUGAUUCAUGACGGUAUCAACAGAAGAAGACACCGG
rnacentral:rRNA from 1 species